rnacentral:rRNA from 1 species
CCCUGGCACAAUACUGACGCUCAGGUGCGAAAGCGUGGGGAGCAAACAGGUUUAGAUACCCUGGUAGUCCACGCCGUAAACGAUGUCUACUAGCUGUUCGUGGUCUUGUACUGUGAGUAGCGCAGCUAACGCACUAAGUAGACCGCCUGGGGAGUACGGUCGCAAGAUUAAAACUCAAAUGAAUUGACGGGGGCCCGCACAAGCGGUGGAGCAUGUGGUUUAAUUCGACGCAACGCGAAGAACCUUACCUACUCUUGACAUCUAGCGAAGAUUGCAGAGAUGCAGUUGUGCCUUCGGGAACGCUAAGACAGGUGCUGCAUGGCUGUCGUCAGCUCGUGUUGUGAAAUGUUGGGUUAAGUCCCGCAACGAGCGCAACCCUUAUCCUUAGUUGCCAGCACGUAAUGGUGGGAACUCUAGGGAGACUGCCGGUGAUAAACCGGAGGAAGGUGGGGACGACGUCAAGUCAUCAUGGCCCUUACGAGUAGGGCUACACACGUGCUACAAUGGUACGUACAGAGGGAGGCAAGCUGGCGACAGUGAGCGGAUCUCUUAAAGCGUAUCGUAGUCCGGAUCGCAGUCUGCAACUCGACUGCGUGAAGUCGGAAUCGCUAGUAAUCGCAAAUCAGAAUGUUGCGGUGAAUACGUUCCCGGGCCUUGUACACACCGCCCGUCACACCAUGGGAGUGGGUUGCAAAAGAAGUAGUAGCUUAACCUUCGGGAGGGCGCUUACCACUUUGUGAUUCAUGACUGGGGUGAAGUCGUAACAAGGUAACC